rnacentral:rRNA from 1 species
AUUGAACGCUGGCGGCAUGCUUUACACAUGCAAGUCGAACGGCAGCGCGGGCUUCGGCCUGGCGGCGAGUGGCGAACGGGUGAGUAAUGCAUCGGAACGUGCCCAGUAGUGGGGGAUAGCCCAGCGAAAGCCGGAUUAAUACCGCAUACGACCUGAGGGUGAAAGCGGGGAACCGAAAGGCCUCGCGCUAUUGGAGCGGCCGAUGUCGGAUUAGCUAGUUGGUGGGGUAAAGGCUUACCAAGGCGACGAUCCGUAGCUGGUCUGAGAGGACGACCAGCCACACUGGGACUGAGACACGGCCCAGACUCCUACGGGAGGCAGCAGUGGGGAAUUUUGGACAAUGGGGGCAACCCUGAUCCAGCCAUGCCGCGUGCGGGAAGAAGGCCUUCGGGUUGUAAACCGCUUUUGUUCGGGAAGAAAUCCUCUGGGCUAAUACCCCGGGGGGAUGACGGUACCGGAAGAAUAAGCACCGGCUAACUACGUG